rnacentral:tRNA from 1 species
GAGAGAGGCCCGAGGCUAAUAGAGGUUGCUAACCCCUGCACCCGCGGUUUGACUCCGCGGCUCACUCG